CCUGAAUUCGAAAGGGGUUGGAUUCAGAUCCUACCGUUCGCAUACUAGGCAGCCCCACUGCGGAUGGUGCCGGUCGCCCGCGGCGAUUAAUUUCGUUUGCGGUGUCGUUUCUGGCGUCCACCCGGUGGUGGCUGACCACCUUCGCGGAGGGUCGCACUUCUCCCCUAGUAGAAACGUCGCGACCCGUUGGGUGCCGGCCGAAGGCCCGGGAAGGAAGCCCGCGCAUCCUGUGGUGGUUGCCACAGGCGUGCGGACUCCCGGUGACCCGGCCGGCUGCCCGACGGUAUGACCAGAGGAGCCGAUCCGCUGAAUGGGAAACACUGUGGUUUGUGAAGCGUGCGGCCUGGCGCCGAUACGUGCGGGGAUUGAGGUGUAAACCGGGGGUGCCCGUGCGAAGCACGGUCCCGGCCCCGCUGCGUCGUCGGUUGCCGGUGUCCUCGCACUGGAUCGAUACUCCCGUCUGCGACGCCCAUCUUCGGAUGGUCUCCCGC
rnacentral:rRNA from 1 species